GCCUGGGUGGCUCAGUUGGUUAAGCAUCUGACUUUGGUUCAGGCCAUGAUCUCAUAGUUCAUGGGUUCGAGCCCCAUGUUGGGCU
rnacentral:tRNA from 1 species